UUCAAUCUCAUUUCGCACGGUGUUCAUGUGAGAUGCAGAUGAAUUGCACAUCGAUUGGCCCCAAUCGACUUAUCCUUCUAUUUUGAAGUGAAAGUCACGUGAGAUCCAAAUUAUUUGCACUUUGAUUUGCCCCAAUCAACAUAUCCUUUGGGUUUGAAGUGGAAGUCACGUUAGAUUCAUAGGUUGAUGUUUGGAAAGCUGAAUGUCGAAAAAGUCGGUGAUUUCGUAAAGUAAGAUGGUGGCAAAGCGAAUGCUCGGUCUUUGAGCUCUAAAUUAAAACUAAGUUUUUACUAUAAAAUCCCAUCUGUAUCGAAAAUUUAUAGAAAAAAAAAAUCAUGGGAAUCACGAUCCGGAAUUGUAUUCUUAGA